GUCUGCUCGACAAAAUGUAAACACAGGAACUGGAGUUAUUCUGAACCAACAGGAACCACCAAGAGCCGAGAACGCGGUCACUGCCGCAGAGAACUGAGGGGGGUUAAAAAGUGAUUGAGAGGUGGCAGAGGCUUCUUGGAAGAAGGUACCAUUCUCCAGCAAUACGAAGGCAUUUUCCUCCUAAAGUAAAAUGCUCUAGAUCUCUGGAGCCCUGAAGAUUUGCCAGUCUCAAGUGGAGUUCUGUGCUAUGGAAGCCAUCACCAAAGCAUGUCCCUAAACAUCCUCAGGGAGAGACACAUUUGGCCUCCGAGACAGGACUCUUGGCCUGGGAGCAUCUGCAUGUCUGCGAAUCAUGGGAGCAGUGGCUGAAGGCAUCCCACACCGUUUCUGCUUGGCAGGUGAGAAGGACCAAGGACUAUGUGGGAGGUAACAGAGGACCAGAAAGAGUUCUAAGAUUCCCUCUGUGACAGGAAGGGACAUGGCAUGCUGGAGUAAAAAGAUGAGGAAAGAGAGUGAAAAGUUCAGGAUCAGCCUUUGAAAUAAACCUUGAAGUCCAUGGUCCCGAGUCCUCUUUCUAGCCCUUCCUUAAGAGACUAGGGGUCUACUAGCACGGAAGGGAGUGACUACAGUUCAUACCGAAUUGCAGCUGGAAUUCUAGUGACCACCUCUCUCACAUUUUCCCAAAGACCAGAAAACUGCCUUGGGGGUAGGAGAUGAUGAUGAUGGCAUUCCAAUCACUUUCAGUGGGAACUAAAAAUUCAGAAAGCUCCAAAAGUGCCCACAGCAUUAACUUUUUUACAGUUUAAGAUACGGAUUGUACUUAGACUUGAUUUCUUUCAAAUUGCAAAUGUCAGUGCUCUGUGAAGGACAACCAAGUUCCAAAUGGGGCCGAGAACGAUUUCAGGGGCCUGGUUAAGAGCCAGUGAGUGACAUGGACGGUCAGCUUCCAGGGCUGAAGGAAGCAGCUGGGGGGAGAGGGACUUACGUUCAUUUUCCUGCGACAUCGAGAGAGGUUGAGGAGGAGAGACACCUUUAGUUCCCGGAAAGUUUUCAAGUCCUCACCAAACCCUUCUCGCGGGAAUUUCUUCAGGGCGUACUGGUAGCGCUGGGCAGCCUCCUUUACUUUCCCUUUCUAAUGGGAGUAGAAGAUGGCAAAACACAGAGUUGGUUUGCUGAGCAGCCGAGGAGGUCUGGCCCGCUCCCUUCCUCCUCUCGGCAGUGAUGACUAAGUUAGCCCUCCCAAACACCAGCCUGGGGAGUAGCUCUGGCCCUGCUGGUGAGAGAAGAGGGUCCAGUCUUUUCAACAGGAAACUCACCUGGCAGGAAGGGCAAGGUUGAAGGGGAUGCCCAAGACACAGGCCAAAGAACCAACCCCUGGGACCCCCAGCUUCCUGACCGGGAUCCCCAAGAGACUGAUCUUGCUCAUUUCAAAGGAGCUUUAUCUUGACCUGAUUUCCCUGGGACGCAUAUUAUUUUCUAGCCCCAACUACGCCAGAGUUAUUACUCCUUCUUCACUUUUGGUUUGCCUGGAAAACUCUUCCUGUUUGAUGCUCCUCCUUGCCAGUCCUCUAGAAGAGGUCAUGCCCUUCCUCACAAAGGAGGUGGGAGCUAAAACAGUCUAGCUGUUGCUUCCCUAGUCUCAAUGCAUAAAACAGUUGCCAGUGUUCCCAUUUUUAGAAAAGGUUUCGGGUAGGGUGAAACUAGUAGAGAAGUUUAGAAUUUGUGUUCCAUCUGCGUAGGAGGGAUUUUCCAAGAUGAAGUAAGUCUAGGACCAACUUAGGGACCUGGUAGCAGGGGCCUUGAAUUUUCCUUAUAUUCUGUAUCUGAAAAUCUAUCAACUAAUAAAUAAAUACCUAUACACAUAUACACAUAAAUAAAUAAAAAGAAAACAAAUGAAAAUCUAUCAGCUGAGCUCAGAAUGAGGCAGGAGGCAGCUCCCCUUCAUUUAGCCAAUCUUAAUCUGUUCCAUUCCUUCUGUGCGGCUGCAACUCCAUCCAGGGAGCCUGAUCGUCUCAUCUUCUCUUUAGCAUCUUUCCUCACGGAGAGAUCUGGAGUCUACCAAGAAUCCAUCACUAGUUCCUUGAAUCCAAGGAAUUGCCCAUGCAGCUCUGGCACCCCAAGACUGACCUUGUGCAAGCAGAAAGUCCACAGUUCCUAGAUGGCCUUCGGAGGCAGCCAUCAUCAGCGGAGUACGACCCUGCUUGUCUGCCAUGUUGACAUCAGCUCCAUGGAAGUUCCUGUCUAGAACUCACCCCUCCCUGAGGGGCCGGAAGUAGCUAGCCUGCUUACCUGCCAGUGGCCCUGGCGAACAGUGCUGAACAGAGGCACUGCCCCUCGGCGGUUUGGCUGGGCCACUGCUGCCCCCUGUUCCAAGAGGAGACGGCACACCUCCAGUUUGCCCCUCCCGGCGGCAGCUGUCAGUGCUAAGAGCAGAGAACACAGACUGAGAACAGGCAGGCGGGUCUUGCGCUCCCCCGCCCUCUGUGUGAGUGCUACUUUACCUCCAAGCGUGGGAGUGGUUACUUUUGCCAUGAAGGAUAUUU